UGUUUACUGCCAUGUUAGCAAUUUGAUG
rnacentral:piRNA from 1 species